rnacentral:tRNA from 1 species
CGGGGGAUAGUGUAAUUGGAGAACAUACUUAUUUAGUUUAUUUUAAUAAACUUACAAUACAGUUAUUUUGUCUAUUGGGUGACAGAGAUGAAGGUUCGAGUCCUUCUCCCCCGA